UGGGGAAUUUUGGACAAUGGGCGAAAGCCUGAUCCAGCAAUGCCGCGUGUGUGAAGAAGGCCUUCGGGUUGUAAAGCACUUUUGUCCGGAAAGAAAUCCUUGGCUCUAAUACAGUCGGGGGAUGACGGUACCGGAAGAAUAAGCACCGGCUAACUACGUGCCAGCAGCCGCGGUAAUACGUAGGGUGCAAGCGUUAAUCGGAAUUACUGGGCGUAAAGCGUGCGCAGGCGGUUUGCUAAGACCGAUGUGAAAUCCCCGGGCUCAACCUGGGAACUGCAUUGGUGACUGGCAGGCUAGAGUAUGGCAGAGGGGGGUAGAAUUCCACGUGUAGCAGUGAAAUGCGUAGAGAUGUGGAGGAAUACCGAUGGCGAAGGCAGCCCCCUGGGCCAAUACUGACGCUCAUGCACGAAAGCGUGGGGAGCAAAACAGGAUUAGAUACCCUGGUAGUCCACGCCCUAAACGAUGUCAACUAGUUGUUGGGGAUUCAUUCCUUAGUAACGUAGCUAACGCGUGAAGUUGACCGCCUGGGGAGUACGGUCGCAAGAUUAAAACUUAAA
rnacentral:rRNA from 1 species